rnacentral:rRNA from 1 species
AUUGAACGCUGGCGGCAUGCUUUACACAUGCAAGUCGAACGGUAACAGGGUGCUUGCACCGCUGACGAGUGGCGAACGGGUGAGUAAUGCGUCGGAACGUGCCGAGUAGUGGGGGAUAACGCAGCGAAAGUUGUGCUAAUACCGCAUACGUACUGAGGUAGAAAGUGGGGGACCUUCGGGCCUCACGCUAUUCGAGCGGCCGACGUCUGAUUAGCUAGUAGGUGAGGUAAAGGCUCACCUAGGCGACGAUCAGUAGCGGGUCUGAGAGGAUGACCCGCCACACUGGGACUGGGACACGGCCCAGACUCCUACGGGAGGCAGCAGUGGGGAAUUUUGGACAAUGGGCGAAAGCCUGAUCCAGCCAUGCCGCGUGUCUGAAGAAGGCCUUCGGGUUGUAAAGGACUUUUGUCAGGGAGGAAAUCCCUAGCGUUAAUACCGCUGGGGGAUGACAGUACCUGAAGAAUAAGCACCGGCUAACUACGUGCCAGCAGCCGCCGUAAAAC